ACAAUGCGGAACAAUGUUUUGCAAUUGGAUUGAGAACAACGUACAAACCUUAUCGAUAAACAAUUGGAGGGCAAGUCUGGUGCCAGCAGCCGCGGUAAUUCCAGCUCCAAUAGCGUAUAUUAACGUUGUUGCAGUUAAAAAGCUCGUAGUUGAAAUGAAGGGUAGUUGUGUAAUGAAUACAUUCGUGUAUUUUGUUAUUCUACUACCCUCCUUCUAAAUUCGAUAUAUGAGUAUUAAUUUACUUGUAUAUGGUUUUAGACUUUUACUGUGAGAAAAUUAGAGUGUUCAAAGCAGGCAUUUGCUUGAAUAUAUUAGCAUGGAAUAAUCAUGUAUGAUUUUCAUGAUGUAUUUGAUUGGUUUGGUUCAUGAGAAUAAGAUUAAAAGGGACAGUUGGGGGUAUUCAUAUUCAAUAGUCAGAGGUGAAAUUCUCGGAUUUAUGG
rnacentral:rRNA from 1 species